CCCGUCACAUCACGAAAAGUGGGCUGCACUAGAAGCCGGUGUGCUAACCGCAAGGGAGCAGCCGUCCAAGGUAUGGCUCAUGAUUGGGGUG
rnacentral:rRNA from 1 species